GCAGCAUGGUCUUAGCUUGCUAAGGCUGAUGGCGACCGGCGCACGGGUGAGUAACACGUAUCCAACCUGCCGUCUACUCUUGGCCAGCCUUCUGAAAGGAAGAUUAAUCCAGGAUGGGAUCAUGAGUUCACAUGUCCGCAUGAUUAAAGGUAUUUUCCGGUAGACGAUGGGGAUGCGUUCCAUUAGAUAGUAGGCGGGGUAACGGCCCACCUAGUCAACGAUGGAUAGGGGUUCUGAGAGGAAGGUCCCCCACAUUGGAACUGAGACACGGUCCAAACUCCUACGGGAGGCAGCAGUGAGGAAUAUUGGUCAAUGGGCGAUGGCCUGAACCAGCCAAGUAGCGUGAAGGAUGACUGCCCUAUGGGUUGUAAACUUCUUUUAUAAAGGAAUAAAGUCGGGUAUGCAUACCCGUUUGCAUGUACUUUAUGAAUAAGGAUCGGCUAACUCCGUGCCAGCAGCCGCGGUAAUACGGAGGAUCCGAGCGUUAUCCGGAUUUAUUGGGUUUAAAGGGAGCGUAGAUGGAUGUUUAAGUCAGUUGUGAAAGUUUGCGGCUCAACCGUAAAAUUGCAGUUGAUACUGGAUGUCUUGAGUGCAGUUGAGGCAGGCGGAAUUCGUGGUGUAGCGGUGAAAUGCUUAGAUAUCACGAAGAACUCCGAUUGCGAAGGCAGCCUGCUAAGCUGC
rnacentral:rRNA from 1 species